CGCCUGCACUUCGGGAUAAGCUUGGGAAACUGGGUCUAAUACCGGAUAGGAACCAUCUUUAGUGUGGUGGUUGGAAAGUUUUUUCGGUGUAGGAUGAGCUCGCGGCCUAUCAGCUUGUUGGUGGGGUAAUGGCCUACCAAGGCGGCGACGGGUAGCCGGCCUGAGAGGGUGUACGGCCACAUUGGGACUGAGAUACGGCCCAG
rnacentral:rRNA from 1 species